rnacentral:lncRNA from 1 species
CUCCUUUCCUGGGAGUGGAGAAGCCCCAGCCAGAACCCUUGCCUUCCCCAAGAGGCACGCUCAGAGGGACAUUCUGCCCUUCCUCACUGCCCCUAGAGCCAACAUCACACCUGGCUUUGGGGCCCUAGAACCUCAGCCCGCGCCCCUCCCCUUCCACCCCCAGCCAUCCCUGCUCUGUGCCCAGUGAUCUUGGGGUCACCACAACCCCAUGGCGCCUUGAGGCCUCACCUUUCCUGGCCUCUCAGCAUCCUGGGACACUGAUGGUCAUGCCUUCCUUCUAGAAAGUUCUCUCCGAGGCUGUGGCUUCCAGGAUGAGCACUCUCCUCCUCCCACUUCCUCCCCUUCUCCUUCCCCCUCCUCCCUUCUCCCUGGAGAGGUCUUUCUCCAAGCCCCAGUCUUCCUCCCCACCCGGUGCCCCUCCCGCUGACAUUUGUCUGCAGUGCCUGUCUCCGCUCCCGCUAGGAAGCCUCCCCUCCGGCAUCUCCAAUCCAUCUCUGGGUCCUGCUCCACCUGCAUUUCCCUAGACCUGUCCUGGCCACCCUCACCCUGGGACACCUCCUGCCCGUGGAGAGCUCCUCUGAUAGGUGCCGUCCUUGGUCUUGGGGGUCCUUUCUCCCUAAUUCUACUUCUGUUUUGGGGGCGUGGGAACCCAGGGUCUUAACCCCAGCCAUUCCCCCUCCCAGGGGCCACUUCCCUCUGAAGCUUAGCCCAGCUCUGUGACCCCCACAGGCCUGCCCCCACCUGGUCCUCACUCCCCUGCAUAGCCACACUGUGGGGGCUCCAUGCUUCCCAGCCCAUAGGAAGCCCUGUUCCCAGAGGGGGCCAUUCUGUUUUAGUUGGAGCAGUGGCCAGAGGCAAAGGUCAGAAGGCAAAGGUCAUAAAAGUUUGUCUCUACCUGCCAGCAUCUGCCCCUGCUACCGCAUCUUCUCCCCUCUCCACCCAAACCCUCCCUCAGCUCCUGCCUCCACCUCUCCAGAGGCACAGACAACAGGGUUCUGAUCUUGGGUCAUGGUGCUCCCCCUGCCAGCCUCAGUCCGAGACCUCUGUGAAUGGGGGUGAUGGCUAAUGGGAUGAGGGGACCACCUCCUGGUGGCUGCAGGGACUGGGGUGAGGGUGCUGUAGGCUCUGCCUAAGUCAAGUGCCAUGGGGCUGAAGAGACGGCGCACCGGCCCUGGAGAAGAGUCCUCCCUGCCCUCCUGUGUCUGGCCUUGUUUCCUGGAGGACAGGUCCCCACGGGGCAGAGACCCAGCAGUCCCAGGGUCCUCAGUUUCUGCCACCCCCAGGCAAUAUCUGCUCACCCUGGCUGCCUUCAGCAAGCUUCAUUUUACCUUGGUAGGUUCCUUAGCCUCUGCCACCUCCAGGCCAUGUCUGCUAACCCUGUCUGCCUUCAGCAAGCUUCGUUUUACCUGGGUAGGGUUCUUAGCCUCCGCCACCCCCAGGCGAUGUCUGCUAACCCUGCCUGCCCUCAGCAAGCUUCCUGUUUCCUGGGUUUAGCCAGAAUCCUCCAGACAGGUGUUUCGUGCCAUCCUGAACAAAAUAUGUGUUUCAACUGCUAUCCAGUUCUGGUUUCCCUUGACAUUGGUGAGACAUAUAAACAGAGGGCAGCUGGGAAUGGAGGGGGCAGGGCCUUCCCAUGCACAGUGGGGGGUGGGGGGACCUGCCCUCCAUCCAGUCCCCAGGGUCCUACUCAUUGCAGGGGGCCCUCCUGGAGGUGUCCUUGGUCCUGUACUGCAGGGUGGGCUGCAACGGGGCUGGGGGCAGGUCUGCACCCCCCACCCCUGAGAUGUGGGUUUGUCUAUCUGUGCUGGGGAUUCUGGAG